UUCUACCAGUUGGAUAAUGCACUUC
rnacentral:piRNA from 1 species